rnacentral:rRNA from 1 species
UACGUAGGGGGCAAGCGUUAAUCGGAAUUACUGGGCGUAAAGCGCACGUAGGCGGCUUUGUAAGUUAGAGGUGAAAGCCCGGAGCUCAACUCCGGAAUUGCCUUUAAGACUGCAUCGCUUGAAUCAUGGAGAGGUGAGUGGAAUUCCGAGUGUAGAGGUGAAAUUCGUAGAUAUUCGGAAGAACACCAGUGGCGAAGGCGACUCACUGGACAUGUAUUGACGCUGAGGUGCGAAAGCGUGGGGAGCAAACGGGG